CCAAUACCAUGGAUAUAGAGUCACUUGGCCAGCCAUGCCAAAACAUGUAUGCACCUCAAUAUCCAAUGAAAAAUAAUCUCAGAAUGAAAUAGCACAAUGUGGUGUCGACAUAAAACACAGCACUUACAAGCCGGAGAGCGGAGUUCACUUCACGAGGAGUGUU